rnacentral:rRNA from 1 species
CUUUCUUUGCUGGCGACCGGCGCACGGGUGAGUAACACGUAUCCAACCUGCCCUUUACUCGGGGAUAGCCUUUCGAAAGAAAGAUUAAUACCCGAUAGCAUAAUGAUUCCGCAUGGUUUCAUUAUUAAAGGAUUCCGGUAAAGGAUGGGGAUGCGUUCCAUUAGGUUGUUGGUGGGGUAACGGCCCACCAAGCCUUCGAUGGAUAGGGGUUCUGAGAGGAAGGUCCCCCACAUUGGGACUGAGACACGGUCCAA